UCCAUCUCUGAUUAAAAUGAUACAUUGAACAUGGGGUGGUCUACAAAGGGGAAACCAGCUCCAUUACACCACGGUGAAGGUGCAGCUGUCUUCCCUAAUGUGGCUUGAAUGGGAGCAGGGAUACAUAUUGUUGCCUUGUGGCUUAAGUGUAGCUUCAUCCACUGACUCACUGUCUGCUCAGUGGGUCUCCUGUGUGGAACAGCCUUGCCUCUCCAAGUAUGCAUCCCUCUUAGACCAGCAGAAACUGUGCCCUGCUUGGAAUGAUGGCUGGGCAGGAUGGAGGGGGAUGGUCAGUGCUGGCUUGGGAUCUGUGUGUAUUGGACUGAUCCAAACUUCUGCUUCCUCCUCCUCACUGCAGCAGAGCUGUCCACCAUGUUUUGGGUUUUCAGUAAAUGGUAGUGCAUGCUAGGGUAGCAUCUAGGGGUGUGUGUGGCGGGGGUUCCCUCUGAGGAUGGGGAUUUGUGGCUCCACAAAUGGCUCUGACCAUUCCUGUGUGCGUGGCAGCUCAAUCCUCUACCCAGCUUGAGGACUGCUGCAGUGGUUGGUCAGUGUAGGCUGCAAGGUGGGUCUGUUUCCCAUGGACACAGUUAAGCUUCUGCUCCCCUGCUGUUCAGUGAUGAAUGCAAACAGACAAGCAUAUGGCUGAGUGUCUGUGAUGCCAGCUUACUUCUGAGAACUUGAAGAUCAUCCCUGGGGAGGGAUUUUUGGUCUAAGAAUAGGGUUAACCUGCCCCUUCUGUUUCAGGUUACCCCCCACCCCCAGGCGGAGUCCGGCCUCAUAUACAGGUGAACUCCUCCUGGGGUGAAUGCCUGUCUCAGGUGAGAUGCCUUGAUCUGGGAAGGGUGCCUGGAGUGAGAGUCUUGGCCAGCUCCUGACCCAGCUGCCCAGGUUAAAGAUGCUGGAGUGGAUGGCUCCACUGCACUGAGUCAUGGCAGGUAGCCAGAGGCCUGUGGUCUGAAGUGCCUGGAAUGGAGCCUUGGAUUUCCUGCCAGGGAAUGGGCAGUCAGCCAUUGGAGCUGCAGGGCUGCCUGGAAGCACGGCUCAUCCGAGCACUGCAGGUUGGAGCAUGUGGGCCACAUGCAGCUUUUCCAUCACACCUGCCUCCAGGAAGAGCUCUCCCUGCUGAGCUGUGACAAACCCAGCAGCAGCUUAGUGUUGGUGGGGGCAGUCGGCCCCUUAGUGUGUGGUUCUGUGUGUACUGACGGUUAAAUAAAACAUCUCUGCACAGAGCA